ACGGGUGAGGAAUACAUCGGAAUCUACUUUUUCGUGGGGGAUAACGUAGGGAAACUUACGCUAAUACCGCAUACGACCUACGGGUGAAAGCAGGGGACCUUCGGGCCUUGCGCGAUUGAAUGAGCCGAUGUCGGAUUAGCUAGUUGGCGGGGUAAAGGCCCACCAAGGCGACGAUCCGUAGCUGGUCUGAAAGGAUGAUCAGCCACACUGGAACUGAGACACGGUCCAGACUCCUACGGGAGGCAGCAGUGGGGAAUAUUGGACAAUGGGCGCAAGCCUGAUCCAGCCAUACCGCGUGGGUGAAGAAGGCCUUCGGGUUGUAAAGCCCUUUUGUUGGGAAAGAAAUCCAGCCGGCUAAUACCUGGUUGGGAUGACGGUACCCAAAGAAUAAGCACCGGCUAACUUCGUGCCAGCAGCCGCGGUAAUACGAAGGGUGCAAGCGUUACUCGGAAUUACUGGGCGUAAAGCGUGCGUAGGUGGUUGUUUAAGUCUGUUGUGAAAGCCCUGGGCUCAACCUGGGAACUGCAGUGGAAACUGGACAACUAGAGUGUGGUAGAGGGUAGCGGAAUUCCCGGUGU
rnacentral:rRNA from 1 species